AGCUGCAGGGCCGGUGGGUCUCCCGUCCGUGCGGCGGGGGAGGCGUGUUACGGCGAAAGGAGGGAUUUUUGCGGAGAGGAAGGAGCGGGGAGUAACCCGCAGCUUCACAGGACUGGACGCCGGGAACCGUCAGCCUCCUCCCGUCUUUUCUUCUUUCUGGACCUGGCGGGACCUCUCGAUUGACAGUCGAGGGUCCGAACCGGCAGACAGACGCGCGGUGCGGGGACCGUAGACUACAAGGCGGGGGAGGCCAUGAUUCCUGCGGGCGGGCCGUGGAUCUGGGGCCUCGGCCGCCACCCAGACCCACGCCCAAUCCUUCGGCGCUUCUCGAAGCUCCCGCGGCAGUUUCGGUCUUUGGGGGCUGCCCCAGUUGAGAGCGCCUGCCGGAAGGGGCUGCCUCCCUGGAUGGGGGCAAAAUUCGCAUUUCUCCGCUAACUGUUCAAGGAGAAAAAGGAGAAAAUUUUUCUUUUUCAAUCACCCCUGUGGCAUGUGGAGGUUCCUGGGCCAGGGAUCGAAUCUGAGCUACAACUGCAGCAAUGCCAGAUCCUUAACCCCUGUGCCAGACCAGAAAUUAAACCUGUGCCCCAGAGCUCCAGAGACGCCAACGAUCCCAUUGUGCCACCGUGGGAACCCCAAGCACUUGCUUUUCUACGUUUGAGUAGCGGUAAAAGUCCCCUUCCGUCCAGGAACCUUCCCGGGAAUGACAAAUAACAGCAGGAAAGCACGGUUGUGCCACUUUGUAUUCUUGCAACAGUUCCACCUCAGAGAGCAAUGAAAGCUACAACUACAAUGUACGGAACAGGAACUCAGGACCGUACAUUGUGUUUCACAACUGUUGCUGCCUUUGGUCUCACACUUGAUUGUCUCCAGCUCAGGCUGAAUGAAUUAUGGACUCCCCAAAGUUGCAAAGGUAGUAUACAGCAUGAUUACAUUACAUGGUCAAAGCCAGGAACCCAGCAGUGCAUGGGUGGGGUGUGUGUGUGUGUCUGUGUGUGUGUGUGUGUGUGUGUGUGUAGAUUCGUAGCCACCAAUGCAGUCAAGAUGCAGAGCUAUCCUGUCUUACAAGGACCUCCAUCCUACUGUCCCUUUGCAGUCACUCCCCUCCCCACAUUCCUAACCCCCUUUGACCAUUAAUCUGUCACUACAAGGAUGUUAUAUCAAUGGAAACCUAUGUAUGUGACCUUUUGCAGCUGACUUUUCCCCUCAUCGCAGUGUUCCUGAGACCAUCCAAGCUGUUGCGUGUAUCAGUACAUCUUUCCUUGUCUUCCCUGACUCAUAGUCCAUGCUCAGGAUGUACCACAGUUUGUUCAAGCAAGAGGGACAUUUUGGCUUGCUCCCAAGUUUUUGUCUGUUACAAAUAAAGUUUCUGUGAACAACUGUG